rnacentral:rRNA from 1 species
GUAGGUGGCAAGCGUUGUCCGGAAUUAUUGGGCGUAAAGCGCGCGCAGGCGGUCCUUUAAGUCUGAUGUGAAAGCCCACGGCUCAACCGUGGAGGGUCAUUGGAAACUGGGGGACUUGAGUACAGAAGAGGAAAGCGGAAUUCCAAGUGUAGCGGUGAAAUGCGUAGAGAUUUGGAGGAACACCAGUGGCGAAGGCGGCUUUCUGGUCUGUAACUGACGCUGAGGCGCGAAAGCGUGGGGAGCAAACAGGAUUAGAUACCCUGGUAGUCCACGCCGUAAACGAUGAGUGCUAAGUGUUAGGGGGUUUCCCGCCCCCCUUAGUGCUGCAGCUAACGCAUUAAGCACUCCGCCGUGGGGAGUACGGCCGCAAGGCUG